rnacentral:misc_RNA from 1 species
UCAAACUUGGUCAUUUAGAGGAAGUAAAAGUCGUAACAAGGUCUCCGUUGGUGAACCAGCGGAGGGAUCAUUAAAGAGUUUACACAACUCCCAAACCCCUGUGAACCUUACCUCAGUUGCUUCGGCAGUGGUUAAUAGAUAGCGAGUGGCGUCUUUCGGUAAUAUAGCUCCCGCCGUCACCUCGUGAUUCUAGGACCCCACUGCCGGUAGACCAUCAAAUUCAGGUAGAACGAGCAAAUCUGAACUAUAAACUAAAUGAAUUAAAACUUUCAACAACGGAUCUCUUGGUUCUGGCAUCGAUGAAGAACGCAGC